rnacentral:rRNA from 1 species
CAGCAGCCGCGGUAACACGUAGGGUGCGAGCGUUAAUCGGAAUUACUGGGCGUAAAGCGUGCGCAGGCGGUUAUAUAAGACAGAUGUGAAAUCCCCGGGCUCAACCUGGGACCUGCAUUUGUGACUGUAUAGCUAGAGUACGGUAGAGGGGGAUGGAAUUCCGCGUGUAGCAGUGAAAUGCGUAGAUAUGCGGAGGAACACCGAUGGCGAAGGCAAUCCCCUGGACCUGUACUGACGCUCAUGCACGAAAGCGUGGGGAGCAAACAGGAUUAGAUACCCCAGUAGUCCCUGUCUCUUAUAC